rnacentral:rRNA from 1 species
GAGCGCCUACGGGGGGCAGCAGUGGGGAAUAUUGCACAAUGGGGGAAACCCUGAUGCAGCGACGCCGCGUGAAGGAAGAAGUAUUUCGGUAUGUAAACUUCUAUCAGCAGGGAAGAAAAUGACGGUACCUGACUAAGGAGCCCCGGCUAACUACGUGCCAGCAGCCGCGGUAAUACGUAGGGGGCAAGCGUUAUCCGGAUUUAUUGGGUUUAAAGGGUGCGUAGGCGGAAUGCCAAGUCAGCGGUAAAAUCGCGGGGCUCAACCUCGCUCCGCCGUUGAAACUGGCGUUCUUGAGUGGGCGAGAA